CAGCCGCCGCGGUAAUACGAAGGGUGCAAGCGUUAAUCGGAAUUACUUGGCGUAAAGCGUGCGUAGGCGGUUUGUUAAGUCUGUUGUGAAAUCCCCGGGCUCAACCUGGGAAUGGCAAUGGAUACUGGCAAGCUAGAGUGUGUCAGAGGAUGGUGGAAUUCCCGGUGUAGCGGUGAAAUGCGUAGAGAUCGGGAGGAACAUCAGUGGCGAAGGCGGCCAUCUGGGACAACACUGACGCUGAGGCACGAAAGCGUGGGGAGCAAACAGGAUUAGAUACCCCUGUAGUCCCUGUCUCUUAUAC
rnacentral:rRNA from 1 species